UUUCACAGGAGUUGUUUCUUCAUGUGAUUGUUGUUUUCCAGAACUUUCACAGGAGUUGUUUCUUCAUGUGAUUGCUGUUUUCCAGGUGAUGCUGCAGCUCUGCUGCUCCUGACAGCAGUGUGUCUGAGUUUCUGUGCGGAGGCCCUGGAGAAGGUGGAGGCCCUGGAGAAGGUGGAGGCCCGAUGCCAUUCUAACGUCAGCCUCCCCUGUGAUGCACGAGCUCACAGCCAGAACUACCGCUCUCUCACCUGGUACAAGCUGCACAGCCGGACGAGUAUCCUCAAGAGGAAGGGGGGUAAUAUCACCACAUAUGAUUACCCCCGUGCAGUUGCCCUUGGGCCUCAGGGGGAGCUGAUCCUGCCCCGUGUUACCCCCAAUGACUCGGGCACCUUCGAGUGCCUCCUGAGGGCAGACCUUGGGGGGCAGAACCAGGAGUCAAUCAUUAACCUCUCUGUUACAGCCUGCAUUCGGCCCACGGAGGUGAUGCCCACGCCCAGCCUGCUGCCUGCUCUAGAGGGCCCCCUGCUGGAGGGGAUGGUGGUGGUGCACGCAGGCUGGGCCUUCCUUGGUUUCAGCUCCCUCAGCCUCCUCAAAAUCAUCCUCUGCUUCGUGUCCGUCAAGGUGAGCUCUGAGUAACACACACCUGAGUAACACACACCUGAGUAACACACACCUGA